rnacentral:rRNA from 1 species
AAGGAGGUGAUCCAACCCGCAAGGGAGGAAGCCGCCGAAGUUGUGGUUGGUGAUUGGGGUGAAGUGGUAACAAGGUAGCCGUAUCGGAAGGUGCGGCUGGAACACCUCCUUAUA